CGGUAAUUCCAGCUCCAAUAGCGUAUACUAAAGUUGUUGCAGUUAAAAAGCUCGUAGUUGGAUUUCUGCGGGGACGGAGCGGCCGGACGCAACUUGCGUCUCGAGCUAGCGCUUUCCCCGCAUCCUGCCGCGAACCGUGCUACCAUUAGUUUGGUGGCGCUGGGGAUCGGCUCGAUUACUUUGAGAAAAAUAGAGUGUUCAAAGCAGGCCACACGCCUUGAAUAAGUUAGCAUGGAAUAAUGACUAAGGACUUUGGUUCUUUUCGUUGGUGUUCGGGACUGAAGUAAUGAUUGAUAGGGACAGUUGGGGCGGUCCGUAUUCCAAAGCGAGAGGUGAAAUUCUUAGACCUUCGGAAGACGAACAGCUGCGAAAGCGUUCCGCAAGGAUGUUCCCUUUGAUCAAGAACGAAAGUUGGGGGAUCGAAGACGAUCAGAUACCGUCGUAGUCUCAACUAUAAACUAUACCAGCUAGGGAUCGGCCAACGUUUAAUUAUUCGACUUGGUCGGCACCUUAUGAGAAAUCAAAGCAUCUGGGUUCCGGGGGGAGUAUGGUCGCAAGGCUGAAACUUAAAGGAAUUGACGGAAGGGCACCACCAGGCGUGGAGCCUGUGGCUUAAUUUGACUCAACACGGGAAAACUUACCAGGUCCAGACAUAGGAAGGAUUGACAGAUUGAUAGCUCUUUCUUGAUUCUGUGGGUGGUGGUGCAUGGCCGUUUUUAGUCGGUGAAGUGAUUUGUCUGCUUAAUUGCGUUAACGGACGAGACCCCAGCCUGCUAAAUAGCGCGGCCGAGCUUUGCUCGGUACGAGCUUCUUAGAGGGACCAUGAUGCGCGAUAGCACAAGGAAGUUUGGGGCAACAACAGGUCUGUGAUGCCCUUAGAUGUUCUGGGCCGCACACGGGCUACACUGGCGCCUGCAACGAGCAUAUCAGCUGGCCCGAGAGGGUCUUGGCUAAUCUUUGGAACCGGCGCCGUGCUUGGGAUUGACCAUUGCAAUUGUUGGUCAUGCAACGAGGAAUGCCUUGUAAACGCGAGUCAUCAGCUCGCAUUGAAUACGUUCCUGCCCCUUGUACACACCGCCC
rnacentral:rRNA from 1 species